rnacentral:rRNA from 1 species
UACGAAGGGGGCUAGCGUUGUUCGGAAUUACUGGGCGUAAAGGGCGCGUAGGCGGUGCCUCAAGUCAGGCGUGAAAGCCCCGGGCUCAACCUGGGAACCGCGCUUGAGACUGGAGUACUAGAGUUCGGGAGAGGAUGGUGGAAUUCCCAGUGUAGAGGUGAAAUUCGUAGAUAUCUGGAGGAACACCAGUGGCGAAGGCGGCAUCCUGGACCGAGAUUGACGCUGAGGCGCGAAAGCUAGGGGAGCAAACGGG